UCCAUUCGAAGCCCGAUAAAAUCCUGUUAUCUCAAAUCCUAAUAUAUAUUACAAUUAGGGAAAAGUUAACGCAGUCCAUUCAAUGAUUGUACUCAUACUCCAAAAAAGUCCGGUACAUCAUCAGGAAUAACUGAGGAUGUUAUUUGUUUUCCUACACCAAAGCCACGAGCUUGAACCGGGUUUUUCCUCCACCAAACCAAAUCAAACAAAUACAUUAAUAAAUAUCCUAAAUAAUUUAUUUAAUACAAAAGAAUUAAAAAAAAAAAGGUGAGGCAGAUCCUAGAGGAUCGAUUUUUUUCAGAAUGCUGUCAGAAGAAUCAUAUCCUCUGACAAAAAGGAAUAUUUGGAUGAGGAUUAUGUCAGACCACUUGUCUACCCAUAUAUAUAUACCAGCCAUUUCAUUUCACUACCCACCUCCUACCAAACAUUUCUCUUCUCCAGAAUCAUUCCAACGCAUCAAGGAAAGGAAGAGGACGUCCCCUCACAAAGGGAGAUCCAACAAAUCUAUUUCACAUCUAAUAAGUCUUUUUCACUUUUACAAAGGUUAUCUUUGCAAGUUAAAGUCGGAGCGAGAAUUUCAAGUUAAGGAAAUUAAACGAAUGAGGUUAAGCGGUGACGACGAGGGGUGAUGUUGAGCAGGGAUGGCGAAUGUGUUUCAGUUUGAUAAAUGCUUUGAUGCAUCGUGUCUCCAUACACGGUGUCAUUCUCUCUUGACUCUUCCGCUGCAAUGUAAAUAACAAACUUAUAUUCUUUUGUAUUACGCACUCUAAUAUAUUUUUACAGUUAUUCCAAUUUAAUUUCGUUCA